UACGGAGGGGGCUAGCGUUGUUCGGAAUUACUGGGCGUAAAGGGCGCGUAGGCGGUCUUUUAAGUCUUGUGUGAAAUCCCUCGGCUCAACUGAGGAACUGCACGGGAUACUGGAAGACUUGAGUUCGGGAGAGGGAAGCGGAAUUCCGGGUGUAGCGGUGAAAUGCGUAGAUAUCCGGAGGAACACCGGUGGCGAAGGCGGCUUCCUGGACCGAUUACUGACGCUGAGGCGCGAAAGCUAGGGGAGCAAACGGG
rnacentral:rRNA from 1 species